rnacentral:rRNA from 1 species
UACGGAGGGAGCUAGCGUUGUUCGGAAUUACUGGGCGUAAAGCGCACGUAGGCGGCUUUGUAAGUUAGAGGUGAAAGCCCGGGGCUCAACCCCGGAAUUGCCUUUAAGACUGCAUCGCUUGAAUCCGGGAGAGGUGAGUGGAAUUCCGAGUGUAGAGGUGAAAUUCGUAGAUAUCGGGUAGAACACCAGUGGCGAAGGCGGCUAUCUGGACGGUAACUGGACGGCUGAGACGCGAAAGCGUGGGGGAGCAAAACAGG